rnacentral:rRNA from 1 species
AGGAUGAACGCUGGCGGCGUGCCUAAUACAUGCAAGUCGAGCGGUAAGGUUCUCACUCUGUAUUUAACUAGUUUGAAUAUAGUGUGAGAAUACACGAGCGGCGGACGGCUGAGUAACACGUAGGAACGUACCCCAAACUGAGGGAUAAGCACCAGAAAUGGUGUCUAAUACCGCAUGUGCUCUUCGGAGUAAAGCUACGGCGGUUUGGGAACGGCCUGCGCAUGAUUAGCUUGUUGGUGAGGUAAUAGCUCACCAAGGCGACGAUCAUUAGCUGGUCUGAGAGGAUGAUCAGCCAGACUGGGACUGAGAACGGCCCAGACUCCUACGGGAGGCAGCAGUAGGGAAUUUUCCACAAUGGGCGAAAGCCUGAUGGAGCAACGCGCGUGCAGGAUGAAGGUCUUCGGGUCGUAAACUGUCUUUUAUCUGUGACGAUUAUGACGGUAGCAGAUGAAUAGGAUCGGCUAACGUCCGUG